UUAAGUUCAGCGGGUAUCCCUACCUGAUUCGAGGUCAAACUGGGGGGGUUCUUGCUGGACGCGAGCCCGCCGGGAGCCUUCAGAAGCGCAAUGUGCUGCGCGAGAAGCCGGCGAUGCCGCUGCCAAUGGAUUUGGGGCGAGUCCUCGCGGGAAGCGGGGACAGACGCUCAACACCAAGCGUAGCUUGAGGGUGUAAAUGA
rnacentral:misc_RNA from 1 species